rnacentral:snRNA from 1 species
GUGCUUGCUUCAGCAGCAUAUAUACUAAAAUUGGAACGAUACAGAGAAGAUUAGCAGGACCCCUGCGCAAGGAUGGCAUGCAAAUUCGUGAAGCAUUCCAUAUUUUA